rnacentral:rRNA from 1 species
CGCGGGGUAGCAAUACUCUGGCGGCGACCGGCGAAAGGGUGAGUAACGCGUGAGCAACGUGCCCGUAUGUGGGGGAUAGUCAUUAGAAAUGAUGCGUAAUACCCCGUAACACAAGGGACUGCAUGGUUCUUUGUUGAAAGAUUUAUUGCAUACGGAUCGGCUCGCGUGCCAUUAGGUAGACGGCGGGGUAACGGCCCACCGUGCCGACGAUGGCUAGGGGUUCUGAGAGGAAGGUCCCCCACAUUGGAACUGAGACACGGUCCAGACUCCUACGGGAGGCAGCAGUGAGGAAUAUUGGACAAUGGCCGGAAGGCUGAUCCAGCCAUGCCGCGUGCGGGAAGACGGCCCUAUGGGUUGUAAACCGCUUUUGCGGGGGAGCAAUAAGAGUCACGUGUGGCUCGAUGAGAGUACCCUGCGAAUAAGCAUCGGCUAACUCCGUGCCAGCAGCCGCGGUAAUACGGAGGAUGCGAGCGUUAUCCGGAUUUAUUGGGUUUAAAGGGUGCGCAGGCGGCUUGUUAAGCGGGAGGUGAAAUGCCGGCGCUCAACGUCGGAAGUGCCUCCCGAACUGGUGAGCUUGAAUGACUCUGCCGUGGGAGGAAUGUGUAGUGUAGCGGUGAAAUGCUUAGAGAUUACACAGAACACCGAUUGCGAGGGCAUCUCACGAAGGGUUGAUUGACGCU